rnacentral:rRNA from 1 species
AUUGAACGCUGGCGGUAUGCUUAACACAUGCAAGUCGAACGGUAACAGGAGAGAGCUUGCUUUCUUGCUGACGAGUGGCGGACGGGUGAGUAACGCGUAGGAAUCUACCUGGUAGUGGGGGACAACUCGGGGAAACUCGAGCUAAUACCGCAUACGCCCUUCGGGGGAAAGCGGGGGAUCUUCGGACCUCGCGCUAUUGGAUGAGCCUGCGUCGGAUUAGCUUGUUGGUGAGGUAAAGGCUCACCAAGGCGACGAUCCGUAGCUGGUCUGAGAGGAUGAUCAGCCACACUGGGACUGAGACACGGCCCAGACUCCUACGGGAGGCAGCAGUGGGGAAUAUUGCGCAAUGGGGGCAACCCUGACGCAGCCAUGCCGCGUGUGUGAAGAAGGCCCUAGGGUUGUAAAGCACUUUCAAUAGGGAGAAAAGGCCCACGGUUAAUACCCGUGGGAGUUGAUGUUACCUAUAGAAGAAGCACCGGCUAACUCCGUG